rnacentral:rRNA from 1 species
GCUACCUAACCUAGCGGCGGACGGGUGAGUAAUGCUUAGGAAUCUGCCUAUUAGUGGGGGACAACAUUCCGAAAGGAAUGCUAAUACCGCAUACGCCCUACGGGGGAAAGCAGGGGAUCUUUGGACCUUGCGCUAAUAGAUGAGCCUAAGUCAGAUUAGCUAGUUGGUGGGGUAAAGGCCUACCAAGGCGACGAUCUGUAGCGGGUCUGAGAGGAUGAUCCGCCACACUGGGACUGAGACACGGCCCAGACUCCUACGGGAGGCAGCAGUGGGGAAUAUUGGACAAUGGGCGCAAGCCUGAUCCAGCCAUGCCGCGUGUGUGAAGAAGGCCUUUUGGUUGUAAAGCACUUUAAGCGAGGAGGAGGCUACUUGGAUUAAUACUCUAGGAUAGUGGACGUUACUCGCAGAAUAAGCACCGGCUAACUCUGUGCCAGCAGCCGCGGUAAUACAGAGGGUGCGAGCGUUAAUCGGAUUUACUGGGCGUAAAGCGUGCGUAGGCGGCUUUUUAAGUCGGAUGUGAAAUCCCUGAGCUUAACUUAGGAAUUGCAUUCGAUACUGGGAAGCUAGAGUAUGGGAGAGGAUGGUAGAAUUCCAGGUGUAGCGGUGAAAUGCGUAGAGAUCUGGAGGAAUACCGAUGGCGAAGGCAGCCAUCUGGCCUAAUACUGACGCUGAGGUACGAAAGCAUGGGGAGCAAACAGGAUUAGAUACCCUGGUAGUCCAUGCCGUAAACGAUGUCUACUAGCCGUUGGGGCCUUUGAGGCUUUAGUGGCGCAGCUAACGCGAUAAGUAGACCGCCUGGGGAGUACGGUCGCAAGACUAAAACUCAAAUGAAUUGACGGGGGCCCGCACA